UCUCGCGAGAUUUUAAUUGUGUUUCCUCUGUUUCAAGCAAGGCAUUCGAUUGGCUGGUAGGUGCUGAUGUCGCGCUGCAAGAACAACAUGGCACGGGUUCAAAGCCUUAUUCAACUGAGAAAAUUGAUCAGCGUCAUGGUACAAGCGAAGUCUGAAUGGUUUGUUUCCUUGUUUCUUCUGCCUUGGCUGCACAGCUGUGGAAACCUGACCUGGUGAGGACCCUCUCCUCCAUCCUCAACUAUUGAACCUCUUAUAUCACUCGGAUGAGGUACUAAAUUAAAGAUUGUGUUCUUGUGUAAAUCCUAGUUACCACGGGAUGAAGAUCCCAGCAGAAACAGAGAAACAAAUAGAGACAUCAUGUUCCAACACAGACAGACCAGCCUGUGAUCUCCUAAGACACCCAGAUUCAGCCCUGGUCACGAUCUGUCCCACACCUGUGUCUCAUCACAGUCCAUCACCAGUGUCUGCACCCUGCCUACUGCCAAUAUUAUGGAUUUCUGUUCUGGAGAGAGAUGCCAUUCACAACAUAAUCUCUACACAAUAUCAAACUAAAAUAAUUUAAUCUUGCCUAACAGUUUCCCUGAUUUGUUACAGUUCACAAUACUUGAAGCAGUGCUGUGCAGACCGAUGGAAGUAUGACAUCACGGUACCAUGAGAGCAAUAAGACAGCUUCAUAUACUUUUGAAUCGCUCUCACGCUACUUUGUCAUACUUUAAGCGCUGCUGCGCAGACCAAUUGAAGUUGAACAUAUCUGAAGUGUAAACUCUCACGGUCAGUUCUGGGUCUUGUGCAGUAAUAUGAUGAGCAGGUGUUUAGUGUCAUCACCUUACAUUAUUGAAAUGCUAUAUUGACCUGUAUUCAGUUUUAAAACUG